UUCCAGCCUUCCUCUCCUUCCUCUACCUUACACCCUAACCUGCACUACCACUUUUGCUUACCCUACACCACACCAUCUUCUCUGCCCAAAAACUCAUGAACGAGCAACAACAAACCCAAGCAGCAUAUAUCCUUGUCAUUGCUAUUCGGCAUACUGUCAUUGCACGAGCAAUACAGUCACUGUGCCGCUAGUUACAGUCAAACAUAGCAACGCAUCUCCACGCACAACACCACCAAACUACGCCUAAAACAGCAGCAAAAAAAAGCAGAGCAAAAACAGAACAAUUUGGAUUCGACAAAACCCGUAAUGUAGUUCGACCGAACUGAAAAUUUAGAGUUCCUAAUCGUAUGAGGUUCGGUCGAACCUCAAUGGCGUUCUCCCAAACCGACAAAAGUUCGUCCGAACAUCACAAGUGUUCGUCCGAACCUAUUUGAGCGCUCAAUUGUUGUACGGAAUUAAUGAAGUCACGUGGCUGCGCUCAUGGUUGGGGUUGAUGGAAAAUCGACGGUGAUGAUGGUUGAUUGAAGGAGGAUGGACGGUGAUAAUGAUAGUUGAUGAGAUGGUGAUGAUGGAUGAUCGAUGGAGGAUGGGGAUCGACGGCAAGGAUGAUAUGAAGAGGAGAGGAUGCAGCGAUGGUGAUGAUGAAUGACGAUCGAUGAUGAUUGACGGUGAAGAUUGAUGAUGGAGGCGCAGGGAAGGAGGUCGAAGGAGCGAAGGCAACGAAGAAAUUGGGGUUGCCGGUUUCUUUUGUUUAUUGGGGGGUCUGAUGCAUUUUUGGGUCAUUUGGUUUCCUUUCUUUCUAUUUUUCUUUUUAUUUUUCCUUUUCUUUUAUUCUUUUUCAUUUAUUUCUUUUUGUUUCUUUGUUUUUUUUUUUUACUUUCUUUAUUUUAUUUGCUUUUUUUAGAAGAGUAGUAUAAAAUACCCAAGUUGGGUCAUAAACAAGGGGCAACUCAUUUUUGCAAUGUACAUAUUUUAGGCUUUUCUCUCUAAUUUUUUAGGGUUUAGGGUUUAUGCUUAGUUUUUGAGGUAGAGAAAAUUAGGAAAAUCAAUGAAAAAUUGAGGGUUUUGAUAUGCAAGUGUGACAAUUUGAAUAGAACAACCAACAAUCAAUCAAUGAGCAUUUAUA